rnacentral:misc_RNA from 1 species
CGCAGCCGCGGUAAUUCCAGCUCCAAUAGCGUAUAUUAAAGUUGUUGCAGUUAAAAAGCUCGUAGUUGAAUUUCGGGGUUAGUAGGUUGGUCAUGCCUCUGGUAUGUACUGGUCUCACUGAUUCCUCCUUCCUGAUGAGCCGUAAUGCCAUUAAUUUGGUGUUGCGGGGAAUUUGGACUGUUACUUUGAAAAAAUUAGAGUGUUUAAAGCAAGCUAACGCUUGAAUACAUUAGCAUGGAAUAAUGAAAUAGGACGUUCGAUCCUAUUUUGUUGGUUUCUAGGAUUGACGUAAUGAUUAAUAGGGAUAGUUGGGGGCAUUAGUAUUCAAUUGUCAGAGGUGAAAUUCUUGGAUUUAUUGAAGACUAACUACUGCGAAAGCAUUUGCCAAGGAUGUUUUCAUUAAUCAAGAACGAAAGUUAGGGGAUCGAAGACGAUCAGAUACCGUCGUAGUCUUAACCAUAAACUAUGCCGACUAGGGAUCGGAUGAUGUUAAUUUUUAAUGACUCAUUCGGCGCCUUAA